rnacentral:sRNA from 1 species
AGUCGAACUUGCGGGCAUGGAGGAGAUAAGAGGCGAGAUUGUCUCUUUCACGCCCGUUUAAGG